UGAAAUAUAGCACCGAAGCUGCGGCAUCAGGCGUAUCACUAAUACGCCUUACGAUUAACAACAUGGAAUGGCGCGAAGCGACAUGAAAGGUUGUUCAAGCAACCCGAACGUUGAGUCGGGCAUCUUUGAGUAAGGAUGAUUAGUGAUACGCCUGUUGGGUAGGGGAGCGUUCUGUAAGCGGAUGAAGGUGGCUCGAGAGGGCUGCUGGACGUAUCAGAAGUGCGAAUGCUGACAUAAGUAACGAUAA
rnacentral:rRNA from 1 species